rnacentral:tRNA from 1 species
GCCCAUGUGGCUCAGUGGUAGAGCACACCCUUGGUAAGGGUGAGACCGUGGGUUCGAUUCCCGCCAUGGGCUCCA